UAGGGAAUCUUCCACAAUGGGCGCAAGCCUGAUGGAGCAACACCGCGUGAGUGAAGAAGGGUUUUCGGCUCGUAAAGCUCUGUUGUUGGAGAAGAACGUGCGUGAGAGUAACUGUUCACGCAGUGACGGUAUCCAACCAGAAAGUCACGGCUAACUACGUGCC
rnacentral:rRNA from 1 species